UCAGCCGGAACGAAACGGUCACGGCUAAUACCUGUGAUCACUGACGGUACCGGAAGAAGAAGCACCGGCUAACUACGUGCCAGCAGCCGCGGUAAUACGUAGGGUGCAAGCGUUAAUCGGAAUUACUGGGCGUAAAGCGUGCGCAGGCGGUUUUGUAAGUCAGAUGUGAAAUCCCCGGGCUUAACCUGGGAACUGCGUUUGAAACUACAAGGCUAGAGUGUAGCAGAGGGGGGUGGAAUUCCACGUGUAGCAGUGAAAUGCGUAGAGAUGUGGAGGAACACCGAUGGCGAAGGCAGCCCCCUGGGUUAACACUGACGCUCAGGCACGAAAGCGUGGGGAGCAAACAGGAUUAGAUACCCUGGUAGUCCACGCCCUAAACGAUGUCAACUAGUUGUCGGGUCUUAACGGACUUGGUAACGCAGCUAACGCGUGAAGUUGACCGCCUGGGGAGUACGGUCGCAAGAUUAAAACUCAAAGGAAUUGACGGGGACCCGCACAAGCGGUGGAUUAUGUGGAUUAAUUCGAUGCAACGCGAAAAACCUUACCUACCCUUGACAUGUACCGAAGCCCGC
rnacentral:rRNA from 1 species